rnacentral:lncRNA from 7 species
CUGAUAUUUGAUACCUCUUGCAGCCAAAGCUCCUGGUGAGGAUAUGAAGGAAUUCAGGAUGACAGUUUCAGUGUCUUAUCCAAACAGACGUGUAUUGGAAAAGGACUAGAGAAAUGGUGACAGCAGAUUCAGAGCAGUUUUGGUGUAAUUGUACCAGAUUCAUUUUGAAAGAAAUGAAGCAAGAAAUACUGUUUUGGCUGUAUAGCAGCUCUUCUUUGACACCUAAUGGAGAAUCAAGAGUCCAAACCAAUGGCUGGCUGCUUGGACAGCUCUGAAUGACACUUGCAAUGAGGACAUUCAGCCCAGAGGAUAAGACUAAACUUAAUUUGAAGUAAAACUUUUGAGCACUGCAUAAUAAUAAUACAGUGUAGUAAUAAUAACAACAUAUAAUGUACUUAUAAUGUGUCUUGUACUUAAUGUAUAAUGAUCUGGAGAUGCAUUAAAUUCUUUACUAGCUGCUUUAACCUCCUGACUUUGUACUGCAGUGUGAAAUUAUUUGGUAAAGUAUACAUAGCCAGAGUGAACUAAUGUUUUAUUUAUAGCCGGGGCAGUGCAACAAUGAGCUAAAUUUCUUAUUUACAGAAGAGAAAUGGAGAUUAUUCCUUUGACUAGACCUAAGACUACAAAGUUCAAGAACGAACCAGGAUCAUUCUGAGUAUUGUUUUAAAACGUGAUAAUGUUAAACUUGUGUAUUCUUUUUCUUGAUCUGCCUAGCGUUUGUACCUUGAUGUUUGUUUUGAUGAAGUGUUACCAUUGAAGAGAUUUUAAAUGCUUAUCCUUGUUAGUAAGCACUAAAAACUUUUCCAGAAUUCUUUAUUGCUUAGAAUCCAAGUGAUACAGUAAGGUCAGUCACUAAAUGUCACUGCUUUGUCCAUUAGAAACCACUGUGUCUAAAUUAGUCACUCAGAUUAUUCAUAUUGGCGUAUUUUCUUUGGUAGUGAAACUCUUCAAGAGUUUCAGUUUUUUAGAAAUACAAACUGAUUUGUGAUGUUAGUGGGUAGAAUUUUAGACCUUGUAAUAGAUAGAAUAGAUAACCUAGCAGGCAGUUUCUUUCCUCUUGAGCAUAUGGAUGACUGCUCUGGCAUAUGGGUACUUGGAAAUACAGGAUACAGUACGUGGAGAGUAAAUUGCCUGGACAAGUAGCUUAUUUGAGACCACUUGUCUUUGGGUAAGAUCAGCUCUAGGAUAAAUGUCCUUGCCAGAAGUCUUUUGGGGAGUUCUGUAAGGAUUUUAUCGACAGAUUGUGAUUCAAAUAAUACUGUUCACUCUAUUACAUUAAAGGAUUUUAUUAGGAAACUAUUUCCCAGUCAUCUCUUGUAUUUAACUUCCUUUUCUGUGUUGGUAAUGAAUCUGAAACUAAUGCAGUGCAAGGAGCCAUGUAACCUUGAGCUAUUUUUCUGUAAGCUUGUUAAAGCAGGCUAGUAUAAUCCAGAUCAGAAGAGCAGGAAUAGCUAAAUUGUACUAAAAAUUACAUAUUUGGAGGAAAUUUUCCUCUAGAGUUGUCAGCAAGCUGUGGCCUAGUAAAGUGCAAGUGUAUGGGGAAAUGGUUGCUGAAAUUGCUGUAUUUCAGGUAAAAACUCAAAUUUGGAAAGAAAAACCCAACCUCACAAAUACAGAAAGCCUAGCUUUUUUUCUGCAGUAAUGCAAUGAUUAGGGCCAGAAUCGUGACCUAACCUUCAGUAACUCCCUGACUGAUUAUAUUUUUUUCACAAAGAAAAUAGAUUUUUUUUUUCUCCUAGGCUUGCUCCUUAAGUAAAAUCAUGUUAUGUUGUAUUGCUGUGCUUCAUUAAACAACUGCUUUGUU